ACUUUGUUUUCAUAAUGAGAUUUUAAAAUGAUCAUCAUAUUGUGCCAACUUCUCACUUUCAAAACUGUGUUGCUUACAUAAUUUUUUUUAUGCGGAAGUACAUUUUUGAGUCUGGCCCAUGACUUUUUGUGCAUAAUUUGGACUUCAAAAUAAAUGAGCGUAAAAAAAUAUGCAAGCAAUUCAAUGUGUUGUUUGAAACAAUUAUGUUUGUCGCUUCAAGGUUAAGGUCACAGUUAACACUUUAACAUUUAGUUAAUUUCUCUUCGUGAUGUAAUUAAAGAACAUAUUUUUGUCCAGCCUUUAACAUUGUUGUGCACCACAGAAAGACAUACAGCUAGAUGUAUUCUGUUUUCAUUAACAUAACAUGGCAAUAUACAUGUAUUGCAAAUGACUCAGAUAAGAAUAACAAUUUUUCCAAAGUUUCAGUCGCUGCGUUUUGAAUGUGCAAUUCACACAGAUAUUCUCAUUUAAUAUGUGAUUUAUAUCAAUGUUAUAUAUUUCCAAAUAUGCAUAUAGUUUUUAGUUGAUGUCUCGUAAAAAAUACCAACAAAUUUGGCUCUAGCAAGAAAUCAAUACCAAACACAAAACAAAGAAGUGCUUUCAUCAUUUAUAGCAGAGAUUUCAGUUUGCAUUUUUGUUCGCAAAUGUACAUACAAUUUGAUUGAAUAAUAUGUUUAAUGGAUUUUUUGAAUGGAUCCUAAAUAGGAAAACAGUCAAUAAAAAACUAUGAUUUUUUCUUGUUGCAGAGGAGGACAAAUUUUGCAUAAUUUAAAUAGUGCUACUCAAUGGUCACAUGUAGUCAUUAAGAAUCUGAGAAUAGAGCAGGUAAAUUCACAUUACUGUCUCUGUACAUCAUCUUUAAGGUUUAUAAGGAACAAGAACAGAUUAUUGACAGAUUCAUAAUAAACACCUCUUUCAAGCAAAUUCUUCAUGCAAUUUACAGCGUUUAUUUUUUCUUCACAGUAAAAACUCUUGAAUUUGCUCAUAACAAUGUCUUCUUACAAAAACAAAGAGAAACUUUAGAGAAAGCAUACACAUUUUUUUAUAACAGCAUCAUAAGAAAAUUAAUUCACACUCGUUUCAAAAAUAUUGUAUAAAUUAUACAAUAUAAUGUCAGCGGUUUUUCAGCACUGUAUGCGCCUCCGGAAAACGGAGGCACUCCCAAAGCAAACGGACCCGAUCCCAAACCGAAAUCAUAAAAAAUAUCCCAAUUUCAAAAAAAAAAAUUUUUUUUUUUUUUUAAGAAUGCAGUGUCUUAUAACUUGUGUGACUAACCAGUGUUUGUUUUGGUGAAAACAAUCUGCUAUAAGGUUUUGACUGUUCAGUUCUUAUCUCAGAGUGUAACUGUAACUGAAAAACAACAAAACUGCAGUACUUGAAUAAACGUUGAACAUGCCCAAUAUUGCAUCUGUUUAUAUAAAGAAUGCAAAGUAACAAAUAAAAACAAAUUUAUUUGUAAAACCACUGAAUUACUUAAGCAUGAUAAAUUCACAUUUUUUAUCCAAAUUAGCUGUUUCAUCGAAGCAAAAAUUCCCAAAUUGACCAAUUUUGUUGAUAAAAAUUCCCAAUUUGGUCAGACUCCUUUUCCCAAAACAGGCAGAAAAAAAUGUUUCAACUAAAUACUAAAAGCCUUAUUAAAUUAUUUUGAAACAAGAAAAUGUGGACAAUCAUUAAAAAUAAUGAGUAGAAUUUUAAAAUUCUACUUAAAAAAAAAAUAAUUAUGAUAAUUUAAGUUUUUUUUAAAAUUUACUAAUGAUCAUGAUAAACUUCUGUAUUACGUAAACCAUAAUAAUACAACAUAAAAUGCUAUUUAUGAAAAAAAGUUUUAACUUAACAAUGCCAUUGUAUUUACAAAAAGAUACACCCAAUUAUAUCAGACACAUAUUAAUAAUCAACCAAUAUAUUAUUUUGAUUUUUUUUUUAUACAUGACCUGUCAUCAUAGAUAUUAUAGCCAGUACAUGUACUACAAUAGUCAAUUAUAGUCUGUAUUGCAUAUAUUCAAUCGUCUAUGAUCGAUUCACAUCCUCAAACUGACCAAAUAUGUAUUGUUUACACCUAAAAAUGUAGUGAAUCCAGUUUCAUUUUCGGUUUGGUUGGUUUGUCAACUCUUUAAGUUCAUUUUCAAAAUCUGACAAUGACAUGAUUAAAUAAUGUAUGAAAAGUUAUCGUUAGGAUAAUAGUUUAAAAUGCAACACAGAUGAACGUUGACAUUGCUAUUUAUAUCAAAGUUACAGUAGAAAGUUAAUUUCUAGUUCAAUGUGCGUUAUUAACAGCCUUUUAACAUUGAUGGACUGAUAACCUUUUGGGAAGUAUAGUAGAAAUACAAGCCAGAAUGGCGAUCAUUAACACGAGGCCUAUCUUACAGAUUCAAAUGAAGCAAUUAGAAUGAAAACAGUUAACAAUGACAAAUAGUCCUUUUAUUUAAAGAACGCUGCACAAUAAGGAUGAUGUGAAUGAAGACAAGUGUGAUAUGAUUAAGGAACUGACGUAAUGAGAAUGAACUAGGCACAAGAAAAGUGUGUUUUGACUAUUUCUCUCUCUAUAUAUAUAUGCACUUUUUUUAACACUAUGUCACAUUCUUUGGUUUUGAAGACCAACGUUGGGUUCACACCAAAGUGCAGUGCUACCAUGCCCUCUGUGUACAUAAUACCCAAUAACUGCAGUGCCAGUUUAACUCCUUUAUUAACCCAUUUUUGCCUAGCGUCUAGAAAGGCCUUGGCAAACAGUGUAGAUCCAGAUGAGACGCUGCAUGAUGCGGCGUCUCAUCAGGGUCUGCGCUGUUUGCCUGAAGGAAUUUCUGUAAGAAAUAUAAAAAUAAGUUCCCUAAUUUUGGAAAUACAUUGUUCUGCCGCCGGCAACCCCUGCCGUGGUGGUACGGUAACGGGACAAGGUUCCAGGCAUAUGCACGCAGGUCCGUUGUUGCACAACAACGAUAUUUAAUAUUUGUAUGGAAGAAUGACGAAGUCCGAGUUCCGGUUAAGACAUUGAUUUAUUUUUCUAUUGGCUUCGCAUGGUAUUCUUAUAAUGGCAUUGGUAAUUACAUCAAAGUACAUAGGUUAUACACAUGCCAAAUCUGGUACAUUGAUGAAUUAUAAUAUUGUCAUAUCUAGGCCUAACUGUCUCUGAGCUCCGUACCCAUCAUAACAAUGGACAAACAUGGCCACUGUUUAUUAUUAUUGUUGUCAGGAAAGUAACUGGUUAUUUAUUAUAAUAUAUACGGAGCAGCUCCGGAUGGAACUGUUCUGAAAAUACGGGAAUGUUUACUUUGUUAUAUACCUCGCUUUCUGUCAUCCGGAGUGGUUGAUAUUUAAAUUACAAAGGAGGUUUCGUCUGAAACGUGUUAGGAAAGAUUGGCAAAUGCUCCGGAAAAGUCUGGGUUUAUAUACCCUAUGAAUCACUCCGGAUGACGUCAUAAAAAUUAUGACGUGUACGGAGCUCUGUAGAAUAAGAAUUCACGGUCAUAACCGAGCAACGUUUCGGCGAUGUUCGUAGCGCACGGAACAUGCCGAAGCGUAUAGUUUGAAGUCAACAUGUAUAUUUAAGGAUAAUAUAUUCUUAACAAUUAUUUAUAUUACUAUAGUAAACCAACAUAAACUCCGACAUCUUGCUACAUAGAGUGAAAACAGUAGAAUAUAAUUUAACAUCCAUUAUACUGCAAAAGAUUGAGGGAACGCCCAAGACGACAAUUCGAUUCGUCUGGAAUUAGUACUAUAUUUAGAUCGAGGUCUCCCGGACAUGCAGGUUGUUUAAUGUUUAGCAAAUAAAGUUACAAUUAAAUUUAAUUAUGCGUAGUAGCAUUUCAUGACGAAAGCUUUCUAACACUGCACUCUCCAUGAAAAAGGGAUUCAGACCCCGAAUACAGAGCGAAACAGGUAAGUCUUAACAAUUAAGGAAAAAUCCCAAUGCUAAAUUGAAAUUUUAAAUUGAUCACGCCUAAGUUAAUUAACAUAUACGAAGCAGGGAAAGCACUCAUCAUGUAACAAACAAAUUAAUUUUAAGGAGUUGUCUUCCCGGAAAAUGAGUAAUCGCAACAUUAGCAAAACAAUAACAUUAAACAAUUAAAAUUUAUGUAACGAUUAAUUAUUAAUGCUGUACAGUAAGGUAUAUAUUUCACAAGAUACAAUAAAUUGUCUUAUUGCAAUCAAGUGUAACAUGUAGUCCAAAUAAUAAGACUAGUAUAUCAAUUGUAAUAAUAAACAAAUGUACAUGACCAUUUUCAGAUAUACAAGUAGCAGGUACACAUUUGGGAGUCCCAGUCGGGCAUAUUUACUUGAACAAUACAAGGGUGCCAAAAUCUCACAAGGACUGAUUUAAACAGAAUUUAGACCGGGUGGGUCUCACACGUCUGUCCAGGGAUCCUCAACAUAAAUGGCGGAUGCAGUUGGUGUAAGGGACCAAAGCAAGAAACCAAUGGUAGUGCAAGUAAAGCCUACGUCUCCACCCUGCCCCGUUAAAAGGAGUAAAGGUAUGUUAAGGAAUGUUAUUUUAAAGGGAUCAGGAUCAUAAGGUCAACUCUGUGGGGAUCAUGGGUUCCGGAGCAGAGACAGUAGGUUCUCCGAUGGCAAGGUCAAUGGGCAAGUUCAUCUCCCGGCCGAACAUCAUCAUAGAUGGAGUGAAACCUGUGCUUGAGUGUAUGCUGGAGUUGUAAGCCAGUACCAGUAAAGCAGGAGCUGUAUAAUAAGUUCCAGUGCAGUCCGGAGUCCGGAGGAAGCUUAAUUAACAUAAAGGUCCUUAAGUUCAGUGGAAACCAGCCACAGAAUCUCGUGGAGCUAAUCAAUUACCAUUAGCGCGCGUUAUGCAUAGAUUGCCAAUCUUUACAUAACAAGGACUGCACAUUGAACUUUAAAUGAAUGUACGAAUAAAAACAAAGUACUGUGGUGUUUGUUGUCACUAUGAAAACAAUAUAGGUAUUAUGGUUCAUAGAAAUCAUAUAAGUAAACCUGGACAAUUCUUGUAAUAAUCGACCAAGAUGAUACUGUGACGUCUUAUUUUUACAUACGUCAUAUAUUAAGUGACGAAAUCGUUACAUAAUCUAAAAGUGCAGUUAUUGCAAAUGAUAUAUGAAAAUUGUGUCUGAAGUAGACGACUGUCGAAAUAACCCGACUUUGUUCUAAAUCCUGUGAUUAAUAUUAUUAGAAUUAUCAUGUGGAAUAAUUGGAUCAAUAAACGCAUUCUCUAUUGAAAGGCAUGUGUUAUCUCUGGCAACGAGAAAGCAACUUCUUAAAAUGGUUACGUUUGCUCGAAAAACAUAGAUGCCGAGGGGCGGUGCAUUUUUCCUUAUUAGGCUAUAUAUGGCUAUAGUAAAAUCUUGUUUACACUCUAGAGGCCACAGUUAUUGUCUGAUCUUUAUGAAACUUGGUCGGAAGAUUCGUCCCAAUAAUAUCUUGGACGAGUUCGAAAAUGGAAACCUUUGCUUGAAAAACAUGGCUGCCUAAGGGGCGGGGCAAUUUUCCUUAUAUGGCUAUAGUAAAAUCUUGUUAACACUCUAGAGGCCAUAUUUAUUGUUCGAAAAUGAUGCCGGUUUGUUGAAAUAUAUGGCCGACUGGGGGCGGGGCAUUUUUCCUUAUAUGGAUAUACUCUAUAGUAAAACCUUGUUAACACUCUAGAGGCCACAUUUAUUUUGCGAUCUUCAUAAAACUUGGUCAGAAGAUUUGUCCCACUGAUAUCUUGGAUGAGUUCAAAAAUGGUAACCUUUGCUUGAAAAACAUGGCUGCCAAGGGGCGGGGUAUUUUUCCUUAUAUGGCUAUAUAUGGCUAAAGUAAAAUCUUGUUAACACUCUAGAGGCCACAUUUAUUGUCCAAUCUUCAUGAAACUUGUUCAGAAGAUUCAUCCCAAUAAUAUCUUCAAUUCAAUAUGUUGUUUGAAACAAUUAUGUUGGUUGCUUCAAGGUUAAGUUCACAGUGAACACUUAAACAUGUAUUUUUUUAUUAUUUAUAAUUAAAGAUCUGUUUUGUCCAGCCUUCAAAAUUGUUGUGCACCACAGAAAGACUUACAGAUAAAUGUAUUCUGUAAAACAAAUCGAUAUAACAUGGAAAUAUACUGCAAAUGAUGCGGCAAAGUUUCAAGGACUG